rnacentral:pre_miRNA from 1 species
UAAAGACCAACAGGUGUUAUUCUAAAAAUGUUCCUGUACAGAUCUGCAUGAAAUACAUCUGCUGGUUUUUAG